UACAGAGGGUGCGAGCGUUGUCCGGAAUCACUGGGCGUAAAGGGCGCGUAGGCGGCUUGAUAAGCGUGCGGUGAAAGCCCGGGGCUCAACCCCGGGUCGGCCGUGCGAACUGUCGAGCUGGAGCACUGUAGAGGCAGGUGGAAUUCCGGGUGUAGCGGUGGAAUGCGUAGAGAUCCGGAAGAAUACCGGUGGCGAAGGCGGCCUGCUGGGCAGUGGCUGACGCUGAGGCGCGAAAGCGUGGGGAGCGAACAGG
rnacentral:rRNA from 1 species